rnacentral:rRNA from 1 species
UACGAAGGGGGCUAGCGUUGUUCGGAAUUACUGGGCGUAAAGCGCGCGCAGGCGGUCUUCCAAGUCAGUGGUGAAAGCCCGGAGCUCAACUCCGGAACUGCCAUUGAAACUGUUAGACUUGAGGAUGAGAGAGGUGAGUGGAAUUCCCAGUGUAGAGGUGAAAUUCGUAGAUAUUGGGAAGAACACCAGUGGCGAAGGCGGCGACCUGGUCCGUGACUGACGCUGAGGCGCGAAAGCGUGGGGAGCAAACAGG